rnacentral:lncRNA from 1 species
AUGUUUUGGCAGCUCUUUAUAGUCUUUCAAGGGGAUUGUGUUGACAGGCACUUGCCCUUCAACUUGCUGCUCUGUUUGGCAGCGGCUCUGUUUUCAGUCUUGCCUUCAUUGCACUUGAGGAUUUUCCACAGCCAUGUAUGGGGAUGUUCUCAUGUAAGAGGGUCAGACGGGCAAAAAUCUGGGAAGAAGGGAUUCCAAGCGACAGGGACGGGGUUUCACUGUGUUGGCCAGGAUGGUCUCGAUCUCUUGACCGUGUGAUCUGCCUGCUUCGGCCUCCCAAAGUGCUGGUAUUACAGGCGUGAGCCACUGCGCCCAGUCAAAGAUGUUCUCUUUUAAGAUUACUUUUUAAAAAGACUCACACGGUACCUUCCCACAAGAAGACAUGGAGACUAUGUGACGUAGCCUGUGGGUCCCUGGACACCGGGACUAGAGGACCCUUCCCAAGAGCAGACCGCAGGCAAGAUACCAUUCAUUGGCCUCGCUGCCUGUGCCCGCGGAUUCCGCACGUGGCCACACCUCUUCUAUACAAGGCAAGGUGGCGGUGAGUAGGAAAACAUGCAGUCCUGACCUGGGCAGCUGGCAUAUGGGGGUUUCUGCCCCCAAGGCGCUUCUAGCACAAAACCUAGUGCUAGGUCUCAACCUCAGUAGCAAAGAGGGAGUCCCCAGAAGGUGCCAUGAGGGUGGGCCCUGAAAAACAGCUGAGUGGGGUCGCCAGAUUUUGGGGGUGGAGUGACAGGAAGACUGGUAAAUUUGAACUUCUCUGCUUGGAACAUAAGAAAUACUCUCCAUGACACAGGUGUCUGCACAAAAUCAGGCAUCUCUUGUCCCUGGAAAGUUAUAUCCCCAAGAUAGAGCUGGCUGGCUCCCAGAACUAG